rnacentral:ncRNA from 2 species
ACGCGCAUGAAUGGAUUAAC